AACCCCUCGCAUUCAGUUGCCAUCGGGUAAUGCCGGGCACUCUGGAAGGACUGCCAUCGACAAGAUGGAGGAAGGUGGGGAUGACGUCAAGUCAUCAUGGCCCUUAUGUCCAGGGCGACACACGUGCUACAAUGGCCGGCACAACGGGAAGCGAGUUCGCGAGGACGAGCGGAUCCCUCAAAGCCGGUCGCAGUUCGGAUUGAAGUCUGCAACUCGACUUCAUGAAGCUGGAAUCGCUAGUAAUCGUGGAUCAGCCAAGCCGCGGUGAAUACGUUCCCGGGCCUU
rnacentral:rRNA from 1 species